rnacentral:rRNA from 1 species
GACGAACGCUGGCGGCGUGCUUAACACAUGCAAGUCGAACGGAAAGGCCCCUUUUGGGGUACUCGAGUGGCGAACGGGGGGGUAACACGUGAGUAACCUGCCCUUGACUUCGGGAUAACUUCAGGAAACUGGGGCUAAUACCGGAUAGGAAUCCUUUCUGCAUGGUGGGGGUUGGAAAGCUUCGGCGGUUUUGGAUGGACUCGCGGCCUAUCAGCUUGUUGGUGGGGUAGUGGCUUACCAAGGCUUUGACGGGUAGCCGGCCUGAGAGGGCGACCGGCCACAUUGGGACUGAGACACGGCCAAGACUCCGACGCGAGGCAGAAGUGGGGAAUAUUGAAAAAUGGGCGGAAGCCUGAUGCAGCACCGCCGCGUGCGGGAUGACGGCCUUGGGGUUGUAAACCGCUUUCAGCAGGGGCGAAGCUUGUGGUGACGGUACCUGCAGAAGAAGCACCGGCUAACUACGUG